GAAUCAACGCUGGCGGCGUGCCUCAGACAUGCAAGUCGAACGCGAAAGUCCUUUCGGGGGACUAGUAGAGUGGCGCACGGGUGAGUAACACGUAGGUAAUCUACCUUUGGAUUGGGAAUAACCACCGGAAACGGUGGCUAAUACCGAAUAAUGCAGCGGCACCUAAUGGUGACAGUUGUUAAAGCGGGGGAUCGCAAGACCUCGCGUCUGAAGAGGAGCCUGCGGCAGAUUAGCUUGUUGGUAAGGUAACGGCUUACCAAGGCGAUGAUCUGUAGCCGGCCUGAGAGGGCGGUCGGCCACACUGACACUGACAUACGGGUCAGACUCCUACGGGAGGCAGCAGUCGGGAAUUUUGGGCAAUGGGCGAAAGCCUGACCCAGCAACGCCGCGUGAAGGAUGAAAUCCCUCGGGAUGUAAACUUCGCAAGAACGGGAAGAAUAAGUCGGUGCCAACAUCACCGACGAUGACGGUACUGUUUGUAAGCUCCGGCUAACUCCGUGCCAGCAGCCGCGGUAAUACGGGGGGAGCAAGCGUUGUUCGGAUUUACUGGGCGUAAAGGGCGCGUAGGCGGCCACCGCAAGUCGACUGUGAAAUCUCCGGGCUUAACCCGGAAAGGUCAGCCGAUACUGCGGGGCUAGAGUGCAGAAGGGGCAACUGGAAUUCUCGGUGUAGCGGUGAAAUGCGUAGAUAUCGAGAGGAACACCUGCGGCGAAGGCGGGUUGCUGGGCUGACACUGACGCUGAUGCGCGAAAGCUAGGGGAGCGAACGGGAUUAGAUACCCCGGUAGUCCUAGCCUUAAACGAUGAAUGCUUGGUGUCUGGGGUUUUAUAGUCCCCGGGUGCCGUCGCUAACGCUUUAAGCAUUCCGCCUGGGGAGUACGGUCGCAAGACUGAAACUCAAAGGAAUUGACGGGGACCCGCACAAGCGGUGGAGCAUGUGGUUUAAUUCGACGCAACGCGAAGAACCUUACCUGGGCUAGAAUGCCUCUGACCGCCCUAGAGAUAGGGCUUCCUGGGUAAAACCAGGCAGAGUGCAAGGUGCUGCAUGGCUGUCGUCAGCUCGUGUCGUGAGAUGUUGGGUUAAGUCCCGCAACGAGCGCAACCCUUAUCAAUAGUUGCCAGCGGUUCGGCCGGGCACUCUAUUGAGACUGCCGUUGACAAAACGGAGGAAGGUGGGGAUGACGUCAAGUCCUCAUGGCCUUUAUGUCCAGGGCUACACACGUGCUACAAUGGCCGGUACAAAGCGCUGCAAACCUGCAAGGGGGAGCCAAUCGCAAAAAGCCGGUCUCAGUUCGGAUUGGAGUCUGCAACUC
rnacentral:rRNA from 1 species